rnacentral:rRNA from 1 species
GAUGAACGCUGGCGGCGCGCCUAAUACAUGCAAGUCGAGCGAACGGACGAGAAGCUUGCUUCUCUGAUGUUAGCGGCGGACGGGUGAGUAACACGUGGAUAACCUACCUAUAAGACUGGGAUAACUUCGGGAAACCGGAGCUAAUACCGGAUAAUAUUUUGAACCGCAUGGUUCAAAAGUGAAAGACGGUCUUGCUGUCACUUAUAGAUGGAUCCGCGCUGCAUUAGCUAGUUGGUAAGGUAACGGCUUACCAAGGCAACGAUGCAUAGCCGACCUGAGAGGGUGAUCGGCCACACUGGAACUGAGACACGGUCCAGACUCCUACGGGAGGCAGCAGUAGGGAAUCUUCCGCAAUGGGCGAAAGCCUGACGGAGCAACGCCGCGUGAGUGAUGAAGGUCUUCGGAUCGUAAAACUCUGUUAUUGGGGAAGAACAUAUGUGUAAGUAACUGUGCACAUCUUGACGGUACCUAAUCAGAAAGCCACGGCUAACUACGUGCCAGCAGCCGCGGUAAUACGUAGGUGGCAAGCGUUAUCCGGAAUUAUUGGGCGUAAAGCGCGCGUAGGCGGUUUUUUAAGUCUGAUGUGAAAGCCCACGGCUCAACCGUGGAGGGUCAUUGGAAACUGGAAAACUUGAGUGCAGAAGAGGAAAGUGGAAUUCCAUGUGUAGCGGUGAAAUGCGCAGAGAUAUGGAGGAACACCAGUGGCGAAGGCGACUUUCUGGUCUGUAACUGACGCUGAUGUGCGAAAGCGUGGGGAUCAAACAGGAUUAGAUACCCUGGUAGUCCACGCCGUAAACGAUGAGUGCUAAGUGUUAGGGGGUUUCCGCCCCUUAGUGCUGCAGCUAACGCAUUAAGCACUCCGCCUGGGGAGUACGACCGCAAGGUUGAAACUCAAAGGAAUUGACGGGGACCCGCACAAGCGGUGGAGCAUGUGGUUUAAUUCGAAGCAACGCGAAGAACCUUACCAAAUCUUGACAUCCUUUGACAACUCUAGAGAUAGAGCUUUCCCCUUCGGGGGACAAAGUGACAGGUGGUGCAUGGUUGUCGUCAGCUCGUGUCGUGAGAUGUUGGGUUAAGUCCCGCAACGAGCGCAACCCUUAAGCUUAGUUGCCAUCAUUAAGUUGGGCACUCUAAGUUGACUGCCGGUGACAAACCGGAGGAAGGUGGGGAUGACGUCAAAUCAUCAUGCCCCUUAUGAUUUGGGCUACACACGUGCUACAAUGGACAAUACAAAGGGCAGCGAAACCGCGAGGUCAAGCAAAUCCCAUAAAGUUGUUCUCAGUUCGGAUUGUAGUCUGCAACUCGACUACAUGAAGCUGGAAUCGCUAGUAAUCGUAGAUCAGCAUGCUACGGUGAAUACGUUCCCGGGUCU